CCGACCUCUGAAUAUACUGCAUGACUUGGCUGGGAGGAAUAUGCCAGACAGAGUAAUUGGACUGGUUACGCUGUUCGCCAACAAGUUGUCUCAACGUCAGAUCGGAAUCAGUGCUUUAGGCCUAAUGACCAUCACGAAGGAUACGAUCCUAACGAUCAUCGGUACCCUCCUGACCUACGUUUUCAUCGUGAUCCAGUUUAAACCGGAAUCAACGUGUGAAUGUCGACAAGAUGCAAACACUACAGCAAUAUAAUUGCAUCAACUCGUAUUUGAUUUUGCACGAAUGGCUAGUCAGCUUUACUUUGUGAUAUUUUAACAUCGCCUCAACAGACAUAUUAAGAGCAGACACCAGAGAACAAUUACACACCAUUACCUGCCCUAAAGGCAGUGUUGGUGAAAGUUAAUUGAAGGAUCGCCGAAAAUCAGAAACAGUGCUUUGUGACGUCUGUCAAGUUUUAAAUUGGUGUAAUGGGCUCCGAAUGUUUACAAAUAGAUAUAUGCCUACAAAGACGCCCUUAAGCCACAAGCAAAUACACGAUGUUAGCAGAAUAACGGGAUGCAUGUGCAUAUGUGUUUUUCACGCCGAAGACCCGGGUUCGAUUCCCGACACGGAUACAAUGUGUGAAGCCCAUUUCUGGUGUCCCCCGCCGUGAUAUUGCUGGAAUAUUGCUAAAAGCGGCGUAAAACCACACUCACUCACUCACUCGCAUAUGUGUUUAGUUGUAUGAAUGUCGGAAAGCAACAAACAAAAUACUUUAGCGUCAGUUGGAGAUGGGUUUUAAGCAUUGGUUCAUCAACCCAUAUGUUUCAAUCCCCAGAUUAUAUUUAGACAGCAUAUGAAACUUUGAUGUCCAACACAUUCGUAUUCAAUAUUUCUAAAAAUGGCAAAAACGACAUCCACUCACUCAACAACAGAAACGCCAGUCAGAAUGGAACAGACGGGACGAGAAACCCUCUGUGAAAGCAAACCCUUCUUUUCAUGCUACAUUCUUUAUGAUUCAUGGAAUACGUGUCGUUUGAUUUGACAGAGCCAAAACAGAUAUUAAUAUAACAAAUAUUAAUUUAACCCAAAAAAAUGUGAACACGACUCACUUAUACCCCCGACCUCGACUCCAACGUAUUUCGACGUUCAAAACACGAAGGAAGCGAUUGUUUCUCAGAAGACCCCCUUAUCGGAAUAUAAUCUUGCACUGCACCUCUACUGUUAAUAAGGAAAAUGUACCCCAAAUAGCAGAAGAGCACAUGAAGUAAUCUUUAAGCUAUAGGUCGGACAAAUGUUGAAGUAAACAAAAUUCUAAGUUCAAAACAGUUCGUAUUUUCACAGAUAAUCCACAUAUCCAAAUUUAACUUUGCACUACACCUUUUCUAUUCGGACGGAAACUGUUCCCUAAAGUUGAAAAGAAUCCAUGCAGCAGUACAAAUGUGUCAGUAAAACAAAAUUCUAAAUAUUGAAAUCUAACUUCGCACUGCACCUCUCUUAAUGGUUUCGAAAGUCUAAAAUGAAUCUAUGCAGUAGUUUAUGAGUUAUAGGUCGCACUAAAAACGUCUUCGGAAGGACGGACGGCAAGACGCAGGGGCUGGAAUAAUGACCUGUUGUAGACACCUUAUCAGCCUAAUCUGUAACCAUGUCUAACCUUUUGUUGCAGACUGUAGUUACACGAACCUAUUCUACCACCCACGAAGCUCCACUGGGACUUCUUUAUAACAUGUUUGUCAUUCUGGUAUUAUGCUCGAAGGAUUACAGUAAAUAUGUAACUUCUGUUCAACUCGGUAGCCAGCAAAGUGAAGGUCGUUGUCUUCGUGUUACGUGUGGAUGUUCUAUAUUCUAUUGCUUUUAUUUCCAUUUGAAUCGUUGUGGCAGAAACGACUUGAUUCACUUUGGACUUUCCCCUCACAUUUAGCUGACGCAUCCUGAAAUAAUGAACUAUCGUCAAUUAUAAUUCGCCGUACAUGGAAUAACAGACAUUCGUUGCAAGUUACCGUUUUAAUACGAAAUUCGGUCCCAAAGAAAAUCACAUCCCAAAUUGUUUUCCCCUACAAAACAGUUAUAGCUAAGUAUUUA